rnacentral:lncRNA from 1 species
ACCCAAUAAAAUGUGUAGUUAAAAUUAAAUGUUGAUUUUAACUUAAAAUUUAUCAAUUUUUUAAGCUAAACCAACAAGGGUUGAUACAACGUGCCUGUACAUGUACCCUCUUGUGUUGUUCUCCGAAAGAAAGGUUCUCUGAAAGAAAGGAAAUCAAUUAGUUAUUCGUCAAAGUUUCAUUUAUUCAAUGACUCUUAUACUGUUCAUUUUAAUAAAAAUAUAUGUAUGGACCGUUCCUCCUAUUUCUUUUAAAUUUUAGAAUAGUUUAAUAAAAUAAAUCUUGACCUUUAAAUUGAUUUGAAUGAACACAUGAAGUUUUUUUUUGUCAAGUUUUUUUGUUUAGGAGGAACGCUCACACACGCAUGCACAUAUGCACUCAAACACACACACACACACACACACUCUUUAUUAAUGAAUAACAUCUUAAGCAUUAUAGAGGCCAUUUUUAAAUUCAGAGAAUAAAAUUUUUUUAUUUACAUAAAUGCUCUCUAUUUUGUCUUUCUAUUUUUUUUUUUAAAUUUUUUUUUAAUAAUUUCUUCUUAUAUUUUAUUUAACACAAUUUUUAUAUGUUAAUGAUCAAUUGAUUCAAAUAGAAUAAUGUUAUGUAACUUCACUGGGAUUACAACCUCAAUUUAGGUGAUGGAAACUUAUUUAAUCUCAUCUAUUUAAUUUCACCGAUUAUUAAUAACAAAUUAAUUUCACUAUCAUUUAAUG